GACGAACGCUGGCGGCGUGCCUAAUACAUGCAAGUAGAACGCUGAAGAGAGGGGCUUGCUCUUCUUGGAUGAGUUGCGAACGGGUGAGUAACGCGUAGGUAACCUGCCUUGUAGCGGGGGAUAACUAUUGGAAACGAUAGCUAAUACCGCAUAACAAUGGAUGACACAUGUCAUUUAUUUGAAAGGGGCAAUUGCUCCACUACAAGAUGGACCUGCGUUGUAUUAGCUAGUAGGUGAGGUAAUGGCUCACCUAGGCGACGAUACAUAGCCGACCUGAGAGGGUGAUCGGCCACACUGGGACUGAGACACGGCCCAGACUCCUACGGGAGGCAGCAGUAGGGAAUCUUCGGCAAUGGGGGCAACCCUGACCGAGCAACGCCGCGUGAGUGAAGAAGGUUUUCGGAUCGUAAAGCUCUGUUGUAAGUCAAGAACGGGUGUGAGAGUGGAAAGUUCACACUGUGGCGGUAGCUUACCAGAAAGGGACGGCUAACUACGUG
rnacentral:rRNA from 1 species